rnacentral:rRNA from 1 species
GAUGAACGCUGGCGGCGUGCCUAAUACAUGCAAGUCGAGCGAACGGACGAGAAGCUUGCUUUUCUGAUGUUAGCGGCGGACGGGUGAGUAACACGUGGAUAACCUACCUAUAAGACUGGGAUAACUUCGGGAAACCGGAGCUAAUACCGGAUAAUAUUUUGAACCGCAUGGUUCAUAAGUGAAAGACGGUCUUGCUGUCACUUAUAGAUGGAUCCGCGCUGCAUUAGCUAGUUGGUAAGGUAACGGCUUACCAAGGCAACGAUGCAUAGCCGACCUGAGAGGGUGAUCGGCCACACUGGAACUGAGACACGGUCCAGACGCCUACGGGAGGCAGCAGUAGGGAAUCUUCCGCAAUGGGCGAAAGCCUGACGGAGCAACGCCGCGUGAGUGAUGAAGGUCUUCGGAUCGUAAAACUCUGUUAUUAGGGAAGAACAUAUGUGUAAGUAACUGUGCACAUCUUGACGGUACCUAAUCAGAAAGCCACGGCUAACUACGUG